GCCUUCUCUCUUGCCCCUCCUUCACACAAAGCCAAGACCACAGAGAUGCCUAUUUCUACUCCCAAAUUCCCAUGUACCUUCUCCUGCAAUGGGACUGAGUAGUUCCAGAGGCAGAACCUUCCCUACUUAUUGCCACCAGUGUCCCCCACCCAUUAGGGAGCGUCCCCUGAUGAGCCCUCUCAGUCUUUAGGCGGGGUUAGGUGCCCCUGCCCUGCUCUCAUAGUGCCGUGUGUACAUGUUCAAUACAGCCUUUAUGCAGUCCCAUAUCACCCUAUAUUUUCAUUUUUCCUCCCCCACUAUCCUUGAGCUCCUUGAGGGCAGAGACUGAUUUAUUUCUGAAUUCUCAGAGACUUGCCACAGUCCCUGUACACAGAAGGUGAUAGACAAAUAUUGACUGAAUGAAUGAAUGCAUGCAUGAAUGAAUGAAUAAAUGAAGACUAACUCAGCUCAGGGCAAGAGUUCAGGUCCUGCUCAGAGCCCUGCCUGUUUACUGGGAAGGUCAACUUCCAAUGUGGGUUCCUGGUGACACCUAGCAACAGUUGCCAUGACAACUGAAAGCACCAUUUUCCCAGGGCAAUCCUCCCCCCAUCCCUGGACUCUCCCCACCUGGCUAGGCAGAGGAAGGAGGCAGCCUUCCUGCUUCAGAAGGCAGGGAGCGGGAGCUGGUCUUGGUUCAUUCCUGGCACCCUGCAGCAGCUUGACGGAAUCGUGAAAGUAAUUCCCAUGAUGCCAUUUUGCCUACCUCAUCAGGCAGAAAGUUUCUGGACUUUGGAUUCAAUUUUAGCCUCCACUGCUCAGAGCCGGAGCCCCUGGAUAUGCUAGGCUUCAUCUGGCUUCCUGUCUCAGCCUAAAAGCACCCAGUUGCUGGCUCAGUCCUGCUGUGCUCCAAGCACGAAAUGUGGCUCAAGGGGCAGGGGUUAAAUGGCAUCCAGCACAGAGUUCCAGAAAACCUGCUAUGGACUGAAUGUGUCCCUCCCCCCGCCAAAAUUUAUAUCUGAUGGUAUUUGGAGCGAGAGGAAGUAACCAGAUAAUGGGGGCAGAGCCUUCAUAUGGGACCAGUGCCCUUAUAAGAAGAGACCCUCUCUCUCUAGCCAUGUGAGGACGCAGCAAGAAAGUGGCCAUCAAGAAGGCAGGAAGCAGAUCCUCCCCAGUGAAUCUGCAGACACCUUGGUCUUGGACUUCCCACCCUCCAGGACUUUGAGAAAUCAAUGUUUGUUGUUUAAGCCACCCCAGUCUCUGGUAUUUGUUAGUGCGGCCCGAGCUGAAGAUACCACCGCCCCCCACCCCCACCCCCACCC